rnacentral:misc_RNA from 1 species
GAUGAAGAACGUAGCGAAAUGCGAUAAAUAAUGUGAAUUGCAGAAUUCAGUGAAUCAUCGAAUCUUUGAACGCACAUUGCGCCCGCCAGCAUUCUGGCGGGCAUGCCUGUUCGAGCGUCAUUUCAACCCUCGAGCCCCCCCGGGGGCCUCGGUGUUGGGGGACGGCACACCAGCCGCCCCCGAAAUGCAGUGGCGACCCCGCCGCAGCCUCCCCUGCGUAGUAGCACACACCUCGCACCGGAGCGCGGAGGCGGUCACGCCGUAAAACGCCCAACUUUCUUAGAGUUGACCUCGGAUCAGGUAGGAAUACCCGCUGAACUUAAGCAUAUCAAUAAGCGGAGGA